UAGGGGGGGAAAAAACCCUGGAUUCCCAGCCAAAUUCCCGGAGGGGGAGUGGAUGAAAGGGCCCUUUAGGGGUUGUUAAAAGGUUUUUUUUUAGCAAAGGGAAAGAUAAAUGGAGGUUUACCUUGCCAGAAAAAAAGCCCCCGGGGUAAAAUUCCGUGGCCCAGCAAACCCCCGGGUAAAGACCGGAGGGGGGGCUAGACGUUUGUUUUGGGAAUUUCCUGGGGGGUAAAAGAGGUGCCGUAAGGCGGGUUUUAGUAAAGUUUGGAAAGUGAAAAGCCCCGGGGGCUUUAACCUCGGGAAAUUGCUUUUCAAAAACUACUAAUCUAGAGGUGUAGUAGGGAGAUGAUGGGAAUUCCCUAGUGUAGAGGGUGAAAAUUUUUUAGAUAUUAGGAGGGAACACCCGGUGGGCGAAGGCGAUCAUUCUGGGCUACAAUCUGACGGUGAUGCACGAAAAGCGUGGGGGAGCAAACAGGAUUAGAUACCCUGGUAGUUCACGCCGUAAACGAUGAGUGCUAGACAUGGGGAAGAUUUUAAUUUGCUUUCGCAGUUAACGCAUUAACCCUCUCCUCCGAGGGGAGAUGGAUGCCAAAAAAAUAUAUUCAUGGUCUUGUCGGGGGCUCGACACUCACAGUGGAAAAUUCGGUUUUAUUGUUAUACAUCAUCAUAGGCCUCCUCGGUCUUUCUCCUGGUGGUACAGUCAUCGUCGAUAUGCCCGUCUUCACAAUAUGGUACAUCUGUCAAAUGCCUUGAAGUGAUGUAAACUCCUGAUAUCUUGAGAUGGUGGGUAGAAUUUUCAUCAACAAUCGCCAACGUUCGUUCUUCCACCCGGCCAGUGACAUCGUCCUUGUUUCGCGUGUCUCUUGAGUUGUCAAUGCAGGUUCCGUGGAUCCUGGCUCCAGAACGAACAUCCUGGCUCCCAGGCGAACCACGUUGCCGGUGAAGCAACAGUGCGCAUAGCGAACACUGGUUGUGCGAGACGCGGCUUUACAGUUGCUUUGGCAGCAUGUGCGAAUGGAGACAAGCUACCAGCGUUUGUGAUUUUAAAGGAACCAAGCGGCAAGAUACCAGCGAAGGCAUUCAUGAAACUUCGCAUUCCAGGUAAGUGUCAAACAAAUUACGUGUUUGUUUAUUAUGGCUUUCAAAUCAAUACACUUGUUUACAACUAGCAUUUUGCAUUGUUCUUUAUCUGUAGUAAAGUCGUUCCGCACCUAA
rnacentral:rRNA from 1 species